AGCGGGAAGUAGUUUACUACUUUGCCGGCGAGCGGCGGACGGGUGAGUAAUGUCUGGGAAACUGCCUGAUGGAGGGGGAUAACUACUGGAAACGGUAGCUAAUACCGCAUAACGUCUUCGGACCAAAGUGGGGGACCUUCGGGCCUCACGCCAUCGGAUGUGCCCAGAUGGGAUUAGCUAGUAGGUGGGGUAAUGGCUCACCUAGGCGACGAUCCCUAGCUGGUCUGAGAGGAUGACCAGCCACACUGGAACUGAGACACGGUCCAGACUCCUACGGGAGGCAGCAGUGGGGAAUAUUGCACAAUGGGCGCAAGCCUGAUGCAGCCAUGCCGCGUGUGUGAAGAAGGCCUUCGGGUUGUAAAGCACUUUCGGCGAGGAGGAAGGCCAAUAACUUAAUACGUUGUUGGAUUGACGUUACUCGCAGAAGAAGCACCGGCUAACUCCGUGCCAGCAGCCGCGGUAAUACGGAGGGUGCAAGCGUUAAUCGGAAUUACUGGGCGUAAAGCGCACGCAGGCGGUUUGUUAAGUCAGAUGUGAAAUCCCCGCGCUUAACGUGGGAACUGCAUUUGAAACUGGCAAGCUAGAGUCUUGUAGAGGGGGGUAGAAUUCCAGGUGUAGCGGUGAAAUGCGUAGAGAUCUGGAGGAAUACCGGUGGCGAAGGCGGCCCCCUGGACAAAGACUGACGCUCAGGUGCGAAAGCGUGGGGAGCAAACA
rnacentral:rRNA from 1 species